AAAGGAAUAGACGGGGGCCCGCACAAGCGGAGGAACAUGUGGUUUAAUUCGAUGAUACGCGAGGAACCUUACCCGGGCUUGAAAUGCAUCUGACCGACUUGGAAACAGGUCUUCUAGCAAUAGCAGAUGUGUAGGUGCUGCAUGGUUGUCGUCAGCUCGUGCCGUGAGGUGUCGGCUUAAGUGCCAUAACGAGCGCAACCCUUGCCAUUAGUUACUAACAGGUUAUGCUGAGGACUCUAGUGGGACUGCCAUCGUAAGAUGUGAGGAAGGUGGGGAUGACGUCAAAUCAGCACGGCCCUUACGUCCGGGGCGACACACGUGUUACAAUGGGGGGUACAGAAAGCAGCUACUUGGUGACAAGGUGCUAAUCUCCAAAACCUCUCUCAGUUCGGAUCGGAGUCUGCAACUCGACUCUGUGAAGCAGGAUUCGCUAGUAAUCGCGCAUCAGCCAUGGCGCGGUGAAUACGUUCCCGGGCCUUGUACACACCGCCCGU
rnacentral:rRNA from 1 species